GAACGAACGCGGCGGGCGUGGAUAAGACAUGCAAGUCGGACGGGAUUUUCCGUUGUAGCAAUACGAUGGAAAGUUUAGUGGCGAACGGGUGCUUAACACGUGGGCAACCUGCCAGGAAGUGGGGGAUAGCUCGUCGAAAGGCGAAUUAAUACCGCAUGUGAUUAGAAUGGACAUCCAUUCGAAAUUAAAGUCGGGGCAACCUGACGCUUCUUGUGGGGCCCGCGGCCUAUCAGCUAGUUGGUGAGGUAACGGCUCACCAAGGCUUUGACGGGUAGCUGGUCUGAGAGGACGACCAGCCACACUGGGACUGAGACACGGCCCAGACACCUACGGGUGGCAGCAGUCGAGAAUUUUUGACAAUGGGGGAAACCCUGAUCGAGCGACGCCGCGUGGAGGAUGAAGGUCUUCGGAUUGUAAACUCCUGUCAUUGGGGAACAAUGCAUCGGUAUUAACUGUAUCGGUGUUGAUAGUACCCGAAGAGGAAGAGACGGCUAACUCUGUGCCAGCAGCCGCGGUAAUACAGAGGUCUCAAGCGUUGUUUGGAUUCAUUGGGCGUAAAGGGUGCGUAGGCGGCGCGGUAAGUCGGGUGUGAAAUCUCGGAGCUUAACUUCGAAACUGCAUUCGAUACUGCCGUGCUUGAGGACUGGAGAGGAGACUGGAAUUUACGGUGUAGCGGUGAAAUGCGUAGAUAUCGUAAGGAAGACCAGUGGCGAAGGCGGGUCUCUGGACAGUUCCUGACGCUGAGGCACGAAGGUCAGGGGAGCAAACGGGAUUAGAUACCCCGGUAGUCCUGACAGUAAACGGUGCACGUUUGGUGUGGGAGGAUUCGACCCCUUCUGCGCCGGAGCUAACGCGUUAAACGUGCCGCCUGGGGAGUACGG
rnacentral:rRNA from 1 species